rnacentral:rRNA from 1 species
CAGACGGGUGAGUAACGCGUGGUCAACCUACCGUUGAGUGGGGGAUAACUAACCGAAAGGUUAGCUAAUACCGCAUACGUCUCCUAGGGGCAUCCCUUGGCGAUAAAAGGAGCAAUCCGCUCGAUGACGGGACCGCGUCCCAUUAGCUAGAUGGUGGGGUAACGGCCUACCAUGGCACCGAUGGGUAGCUGGUUUGAGAGAGCGACCAGCCACACUGGGACUGAGAAACGGCCCAG